rnacentral:rRNA from 1 species
CCUACGGGAGGCAACAGUGAGGAAUAUUGGUCAAUGGACGAGAGUCUGAACCAGCCAAGUAGCGUGAAGGAUGACUGCCCUAUGGGUUGUAAACUUCUUUUAUAUGGGACUAAAAUGUUCCACGUGUGGGAUUUUGUAUGUACCAUAUGAAUAAGGAUCGGAUAACUCCGUGCCAGCAGCCGCGGUAAUACGGAGGAACCGAGCGUUAUCCGGAUUUAUUGGGUUUAAAGGGAGCGUCGUUGGAUUGUUAAGUCAGUUGUGAAAGUUUGCGGCUCAACCGUAAAAUUGCAGUUGAAACUGGCAGUCUUGAGUACAGUAGAGGUGGGCGGAAUUCGUGGUGUAGCGGUGAAAUGCUUAGAUAUCACGAAGAACUCCGAUUGCGAAGGCAGUUCACUGGACUGCAACUGACACUGAGGCUCGAAAGUGUGGGUAUCAAACAGGAUUAGAUACCCGUGUAGUC